rnacentral:misc_RNA from 1 species
UCUCCGUUGGUGAACCAGCGGAGGGAUCAUUACAGCGUUUAUUAUAACUCCUAAACCCAUGUGAACCUACCUUCUGUUGCCUCGGCAGGCAAGUCGUAUCUUGCUACCCUAUAGGACCCUAUCUUGUAAGACGUUACCUUAUAAGGUCCUAUCCGGUAGAGAGAUGCGGUACUACCUGCCGGUGGACUGAAAAAAAAAUUCUGUUUAAUAAAUGGUAUUCUGAAUCAUUAUAUGGAAAUUAAGUUAAAGCUUUCAACAACGGAUCUCUUGGUUCUG